rnacentral:rRNA from 1 species
GGACGGGUGAGUAACGCGUGNGUAACCUGCCUUCAAGAGGGGGAUAACAUUCUGAAAAGAAUGCUAAUACCGCAUGACAUAUCGGAACCACAUGGUUUUGAUAUCAAAGAUUUAUCGCUUGAAGAUGGACUCGCGUCCGAUUAGUUAGUUGGUGAGGUAACGGCUCACCAAGACCGCGAUCGGUAGCCGGACUGAGAGGUUGAACGGCCACAUUGGGACUGAGACACGGCCCAGACUCCUACGGGAGGCAGCAUG